rnacentral:rRNA from 1 species
GGUGAAAAACCUCCUCGCCGGAAGACCAAGGGUUCCUGUCCAACGUUAAUCGGGGCAGGGUGAGUCGACCCCUAAGGUGAGGCCGAAAGGCGUAAUCGAUGGGAAACGGGUUAAUAUUCCCGUACUUCUGACUAUUGCGAUGGGGGGACGGAGAAGGCUAGGUGGGCCAGGCGACGGUUGUCCUGGUUCAAGUGCGUAGGCUUGAGAGUUAGGUAAAUCCGGCUCUCUCUAAGGCUGAGACACGACGUCGAGCUACUACGGUAGUGAAGUCAUUGAUGCCAUGCUUCCAGGAAAAGCCUCUAAGCUUCAGAUAGUCAGGAAUCGUACCCCAAACCGACACAGGUGGUCGGGUAGAGAAUACCAAGGCGCUUGAGAGAACUCGGGUGAAGGAACUAGGCAAAAUGGUACCGUAACUUCGGGAGAAGGUACGCUCUUGAUGGUGAAGUCCCUCGCGGAUGGAGCUGACGAGAGUCGCAGAUACCAGGUGGCUGCAACUGUUUAUUAAAAACACAGCACUGUGCAAAAUCGCAAGAUGACGUAUACGGUGUGACGCCUGCCCGGUGCCGGAAGGUUAAUUGAUGGGGUUAGCGCAAGCGAAGCUCUUGAUCGAAGCCCCGGUAAACGGCGGCCGUAACUAUAACGGUCCUAAGGUAGCGAAAUUCCUUGUCGGGUAAGUUCCGACCUGCACGAAUGGCGUAAUGAUGGCCACGCUGUCUCCACCCGAGACUCAGUGAAAUUGAAAUCGCUGUGAAGAUGCAGUGUACCCGCGGCUAGACGGAAAGACCCCGUGAACCUUUACUACAGCUUGGCACUGAACAUUGAACCUACAUGUGUAGGAUAGGUGGGAGGCUAUGAAGACGUGACGCCAGUUGCGUUGGAGCCGUCCUUGAAAUACCACCCUUGUAUGUUUGAUGUUCUAACUUAGACCCAUUAUCUGGGUUGAGGACAGUGCCUGGUGGGUAGUUUGACUGGGGCGGUCUCCUCCCAAAGAGUAACGGAGGAGCACGAAGGUGGGCUAAUCACGGUUGGACAUCGUGAGGUUAGUGCAAUGGCAUAAGCCCGCUUAACUGCGAGAAUGACGGUUCGAGCAGGUGCGAAAGCAGGUCAUAGUGAUCCGGUGGUUCUGUAUGGAAGGGCCAUCGCUCAACGGAUAAAAGGUACUCCGGGGAUAACAGGCUGAUACCGCCCAAGAGUUCAUAUCGACGGCGGUGUUUGGCACCUCGAUGUCGGCUCAUCACAUCCUGGGGCUGAAGUCGGUCCCAAGGGUAUGGCUGUUCGCCAUUUAAAGUGGUACGCGAGCUGGGUUUAGAACGUCGUGAGACAGUUCGGUCCCUAUCUGCCGUGGGCGUUGGAAGAUUGAAGGGGGCUGCUCCUAGUACGAGAGGACCGGAGUGGACGAACCUCUGGUGUUCGGGUUGUGUCGCCAGACGCAUUGCCCGGUAGCUAAGUUCGGAAUUGAUAAGCGCUGAAAGCAUCUAAGCGCGAAGCGAGCCCUGAGAUGAGUCUUCCCUGACAGUUUAACUGUCCUAAAGGGUUGUUCGAGACUAGAACGUUGAUAGGCAGGGUGUGUAAGCGUUGUGAGGCGUUGAGCUAACCUGUACUAAUUGCCCGUGAGGCUUAACCAUACAACACCCAAGGGGUUUUGUA